rnacentral:rRNA from 1 species
CAGAUCACGUAAACUUUCAAUAGUCGAACAGACUAAAUUUAUUAACAUCUACCCCAACAAUAUAAUUUAAUUCAACAUCGAGGUCGCAAUCCUAGUUAUUAAUAAGAACUUGCUAACUAAAUAACGCUGUUAACCCUAGAGUAACUUAGUAUAUUAUAAUUUUUCAUCCUAUAAAUUAAUAAAAUAAAAUCUCUUAAAAAUAUAAAAAUCCUCCUUUUCAUUUAUUACCCCAAUAAAAAAAUUUUUACUUUAAAGCUUCUAGGGUCUUCUCGUCCCAAAGAUUCAUAAAAGCAUUUUUACCUUUAAUUUAAUUUCAAAUUUAUUAAAUAAAACCCUCCUUUUAGUUUCUACCCUUCAUCCCAGUUUAUAAUUAAUAAA